CUACGAGUUUGAUCAUGGCUCAGGAUGAACGCUAGCGGCAGGCUUAACACAUGCAAGUCGAGGGGCAGCGCGAUGUAGCAAUACAUUGGCGGCGACCGGCGCACGGGUGCGUAACACGUAUGGAACUUACCCUUUACUGGGAGAUAGCCCGGAGAAAUCCGGAUUAAUAUCCCAUAAUAAACGAAGUGGCAUCACUUUGUUUUGAAAGCUCCGGCGGUAAAGGAUGGCCAUGCGCACGAUUAGCUAGUAGGUGAGGUAACGGCUCACCUAGGCUACGAUCGUUAGGGGGCCUGAGAGGGUUAUCCCCCACACUGGUACUGAGACACGGACCAGACUCCUACGGGAGGCAGCAGUGAGGAAUAUUGCGCAAUGGAGGCAACUCUGACGCAGCCAUGCCGCGUGCAGGAAGAAGGCGCUACGCGUUGUAAACUGCUUUAACCGGGAAGAAACCCUCCGACGUGUCGGAGGUUGACGGUACCGGAGGAAUAAGCACCGGCUAACUUCGUG
rnacentral:rRNA from 1 species